UACGUAGGUGGCAAGCGUUGUCCGGAAUUAUUGGGCGUAAAGCGCGCGCAGGCGGUCUUUUAAGUCUGAUGUGAAAGCCCACGGCUCAACCGUGGAGGGUCAUUGGAAACUGGGAGACUUGAGUGUAGGAGAGGAAAGCGGAAUUCCACGUGUAGCGGUGAAAUGCGUAGAGAUGUGGAGGAACACCAGUGGCGAAGGCGGCUUUCUGGCCUAUAACUGACGCUGAGGCGCGAAAGCGUGGGGAGCAAACAGG
rnacentral:rRNA from 1 species